GAAUGAAGGAAACAUGGUAAUGGGCGCAGAAAUUAAUUUGGGUCUCUAGAUCUACCCUCUUUGAUGCCUUUUGGCUUUGAUUUGGGGACAUGGUUCCGCAGAAAAACA